rnacentral:rRNA from 1 species
UAGAGAAUCUUCCACAAUGGGCGCAAGCCUGAUGGAGCAACACCGCGUGAGUGAAGAAGGGUUUCGGCUCGUAAAGCUCUGUUGUUAAAGAAGAACACGUAUGAGAGUAACUGUUCAUACGUUGACGGUAUUUAACCAGAAAGUCACGGCUAACUACGUGCCUG